UACGAAGGGGACUAGCGUUGUUCGGAUUUACUGGGCGUAAAGCGCGCGUAGGCGGAUCGCUAAGUCAGGGGUGAAAUCCCAGGGCUCAACUCCAGAACUGCCUUUGAUACUGGGAAGCUUGAGUCCGGGAGAGGUGAGUGGAACUCCGAGUGUAGAGGUGAAAUUCGUAGAUAUUCGCAAGAACACCAGUGGCGAAGGCGGCUCACUGGCCCGAUACUGACGCUGAGGCACGAAAGCGUGGGGAGCAAACAGG
rnacentral:rRNA from 1 species